GGGGGGUCUUACAUGGCAGUUCGACGGACUCAUAUUGAAACCUAGUGAUUUAUGAGUUAGUGGCGGACGGGUGAGUAACGCGUGGAUAACCUGCCGUAUACCGGGGGAUAACACUUAGAAAUAGGUGCUAAUACCGCAUAAGCGCACGGCUCCGCAUGGAGCAGUGUGAAAAACUCCGGUGGUAUACGAUGGAUCCGCGUCUGAUUAGCUAGUUGGCGGGGUAACGGCCCACCAAGGCAGCGAUCAGUAGCCGGCCUGAGAGGGUGGACGGCCACAUUGGGACUGAGACACGGCCCAAACUCCUACGGGAGGCAGCAGUGGGGAAUAUUGCACAAUGGGGGAAACCCUGAUGCAGCGACGCCGCGUGAGUGAAGAAGUAUCUCGGUACGUAAAGCUCUAUCAGCAGGGAAGAAAAUGACGGUACCUGACUAAGAAGCCCCGGCUAACUACGUGCCAGCAGCCGCGGUAAUACGUAGGGGGCAAGCGUUAUCCGGAUUUACUGGGUGUAAAGGGAGCGUAGACGGCAGCACAAGUCUGGAGUGAAAUCCCGGGGCUUAACCCCGGAACUGCUUUGGAAACUGUGCGGCUGGAGUGCAGGAGGGGUAAGCGGAAUUCCUAGUGUAGCGGUGAAAUGCGUAGAUAUUANGAGGAACACCGGUGGCGAAGGCGGCUUACUGGACUGUAACUGACGUUGAGGCUCGAAAGCGUGGGGAGCAAACAGGAUUAGAUACCCUGGUAGUCCACGCCGUA
rnacentral:rRNA from 1 species